GCUUCAAUGGAUUUACCUCCGGACAAAGCGAAAUUACUUAAGAACUACGAUGAUGAAAAGAAAUGGGACAUAAUAUGUGAUCAGGAAAUGGUACAAGCAAAGGAUCCACCCGCUCAUUAUUUAAACAAACUGCGCACAUAUUUGGACCCAAAAGCCUCUCGAAGUCAUCGGCUAUUCUUCCUCUACUUUCUUUGUCAGAAACGUAAAAUGGUCGGGGAGUCCACGUCGACGCAGGUGCUGCGUGAUCUCGAGAUCUCGCUGCGCACCAAUCACAUUGAAUGGGUUAAGGAGUUUCUCGACGACACGAACCAGGGUCUGGACGCUCUUGUGGAUUACCUAAGUUUUCGCCUGCAGAUGAUGCGCCACGAACAGCGGGUUGAAGAAGCGCUAUCUGACUCAGAUGAGCGCCUGAAUAUGACAAGCAGCCAGACAGUGGGCGGAGGCAACGGUUCAGGCUCCGCCGAUGGGCUGGGUAGUUCAUCGGUGGGAGUAAGUUCUCCUCUCAGUGGUAGCAUUAAUUUAGAUGGUGCCCGGCACCACCCAUAUUCUCACUCGGGCCACUCUGGCGGUAGUUUAAAUGGUUUUUUACGUCCCUCGCUGGCCGAGGUACUUGACAGUCCCAGCAUUAAACGACGAUCCAGACAUAUAGCCAAAUUGAAUAUGGGUGCAUCCACUGAUGACAUACACGUGUGCAUCAUGUGCUUGCGGGCCAUAAUGAACAACAAAUACGGCUUCAAUAUGGUCAUCCAACACCGAGAAGCUAUCAAUUGCAUAGCGUUAAGUCUGAUACACAAGUCGCUGCGUACGAAAGCUUUGGUGCUAGAGCUGUUGGCUGCCAUUUGUUUGGUGAAGGGGGGUCACGAGAUAAUAUUGUCCUCGUUCGACAACUUUAAGGAUGUGUGCCAGGAGAAGCGUCGAUUUCAAACACUAAUGGAAUACUUCAUGAACUUUGAGGCCUUCAACAUUGACUUUAUGGUAGCGUGUAUGCAGUUCAUGAACAUUGUAGUUCACUCCGUUGAGGACAUGAACUAUCGCGUGCAUCUGCAAUACGAAUUCACGGCUCUCGGACUGGACAAAUAUCUGGAGAAGCUACGCAUGACUGAAUCGGAGGAGCUAAAAGUGCAGAUAUCCGCUUAUUUAGACAAUGUGUUCGACGUGGCGGGCCUAAUGGAAGAUUCUGAGACGAAGACUGCAGCUUUAGAACGAGUGCAGGAGCUGGAGGACCAAUUAGAGAGGGAGGUGGAUCGCAACUCAGAAUUCAUGUAUAAGCUCGCCGAACUCGAAACUGAGGUGGCGGUGCUGAAAGCAGAGCGUGAGGACUUAUUGACCACUAAACUGAAGUUUGACGAAGAGGUCACGACAUUGCGGCGCAUACUGAAGCAGAACGAACAGGAGCUUAAGAAGCGUGAAUCGCUGCUACAAAGCAAGAAUCUCGAGUUACAAACAUUGACGCGGUCGUUACCGCGCUCGGGUUCGAAUAGUGAAACGUCUCUACAAAAUGGCGGAACCUCUCCGGACAAGUGCGUUUCUCCUCCACUGCCUCCCCCGCCGCCUCCACUUCCAUCUGCUAUGUCGCCUGCCAGCGCGGCGCCUCCGCCACCACCUCCGCCCGCACCGCCCGCGCCACCACCACCGCCUCUUGCGCCUGGCGGUUCCUUAAGCAAUGGUGGUCCGCUUUCGCCAACAAUGUCCGCAAAUGGUGGUUCGGUAGGUUCUCGCUCACCACCAUAUGGUUCUGGUCCCAACGGAGGGCCUAUGAUGUGUGCGUUCCAACCGCCCCCUCCACCUGUGGCCGGUUUCAUGCCCGCUCCAGACGGUGCCAUGACAAUCAAGCGCAAAGUACCGACGAAAUAUAAACUGCCCACGCUUAACUGGAUAGCUUUAAAGCCAAAUCAGGUUCGUGAUACUAUUUUCAACGAAUUGGACGAUGAAAAGAUAUUCAAACACAUUGAUUUCAUUGAAUUUGAGGAGCGGUUUAAAAUUGGUAUCGGCGGCGGCUUGACAAAUGGCAACAACUCAGAAGUGGACGGCCUCCACUCCUAUCCUAGCAAACGCUUCAAGAAGCCAGACAAUGUAUCGCUUUUGGAGCACACGAGAUUACGAAAUAUUGCAAUAUCUCGUCGUAAAUUGGAUAUGCCUAUCGAUGAGGUUAUUGCUGCCAUACAUAGCUUAGAUUUGAAGAAACUUUCUCUGGAAAAUGUGGAGUUAUUGCAAAAAAUGGUGCCCACGGAUGUAGAGGUGAAAUCCUACAAGGAAUACAUUGCCGAGCGUAAAGAUCAAAACCAACUCACCGAAGAGGAUAAAUUCAUGUUGCAAUUGUCCCGUGUGGAGCGCAUUUCAUCUAAGCUCUCUAUUAUGAAUUAUAUGGGCAAUUUCUUCGACUGUCUGCACUUGAUCAGUCCACAAAUACUAGCCAUCACAACCGCUUCCAAUUCCCUGAAAAAAUCCCAAAAGUUUAAAGCCGUUCUAGAAAUCGUUCUAGCUUUCGGAAAUUACCUCAACAGUAGCAAACGUGGCCCCGCAUAUGGAUUUAAAUUGCAGUCACUCGAUACGCUAAUCGACACCAAGUCAACUGACAAACGCACGUCACUGUUGCACUACAUCGUGGCAACCAUAAGGCAAAAGUUCCCUGAGCUGCUCAAUUUCGAUACAGAGCUGUAUUGCACAGACAAAGCAUCGCAGGUAUCGCUUGAAAAUAUUGUAACGGACGUACAUGACCUUGAAAAGGGCAUGGAAUUGGUGAAGAAGGAGGCAGAACAACGAGUGAAAGGUGCACAAACUCAUAUCCUGCGAGAUUUCCUCAAUAACUCCGAGGAUAAGUUGAAGAAGAUCAAAAUGGAAUUGAAGAAUGCACAGGAUGCAUUCAAAGAAUGCGUUGAGUAUUUCGGGGAAUCAUCGCGUAACGCCGAUGCAGCAGCAUUCUUCGCGCUAAUAGUGCGCUUUACGCGAGCAUUUAAGAUCCACGACCAAGAAAACGAGCAACGCCGUCGUCUGGAACAGGCAGCUGCCCAGGCUGCAAACAAAAAAGAAAGCGACCAAGUAUUACUGCGCAACAAAAUGAACCAGAAGAAACAGCAGAAACUGGGUUGCGUGACUAUGGAAAGCAGUUUACUACACAAAGCGCUUAUUAAUUCUGCGUGAAAAGACAAAGCAAAUAACUGCAGAUAUAUAAAAAUUUCAAAAUUUCGUACAGUUAAGCAAGUUAUUCGUAUUCGUUAUGUAAUAAUAAUUGUAAUGUGGCGUGUGGAGUGUUUGGCAAAAAUCUAUUGUAAAAUUAGACAAAAAGACAAGCGCUGCGCACAAUUAUACAAGCCUAAUACAACAACACAAUGACAUAUACACAAAUCAUAGCACAUAAUACAUACAUGUUCAACAUAUGUACAUACAUAUAAUUCAAGCAUAUACCAUGUAUUCGAGAAAAAGAAAAUACAUACAAAAAUUACGUGUAGUUCACAUCAUUAAAAAAAACACGAAAUUACCCACAUAGAAUAAGAAGGAAGUGGUUCUAUGUUUAUUACAUUUACCUUCACCGUCACGAUAAUCACCACAAUCACAACCACCACCAUUACCAAUAACGCAUCGCUCCCACGAUUACUAAGAUCAUCACCACCACCUCAAGCAUCACCCUUCCUGGUAAGCGAUAAGUGAUAACCAUAAAGGAUGUCGGACUCGGUAACUUAGAAUAGCUAAAGAUCUGGUAUAAGACAUUUUGGUUCGCCUUCCAUCUUGUUGGCAUUUCCAACGCUCAUAAGAUGAAAAAUGAUUGCCCGGUUGUGGCUUCUCCUUACAGGACGCUGUCAUUAACGAGCUGAAGAGCAAAACGAAUUCGGUGCGGGAAAAAAAAUUGCUU
rnacentral:misc_RNA from 1 species